ensembl:snoRNA small nucleolar RNA SNORD60
AGCCACUGAUGACAAACUCAAUAUUUUCUGACACCUCGUAUGAGAGCUGAAACAGCUCCUGAUUCAGACUCUGCUCUGAGGCUG